CAGCCGCCGCGGUAAUACCGGCGGCCCGAGUGGCGGUCACUAUUAUUGGGCUUAAAGCGUCCGUAGCCGGGUUGGGAAGUCCUCCGGGAAAUCUGGCCGCUUAACGGUCAGAAUGCCGGAGGAUACUCCCAGCCUAGGGAGCGGGAGAGGCCGAGGGGAUUCCCGGAGUAGGGGGGAAAUCCUAUAAUCCCGGGAGGACCACCUGUGGCGAAGGCGCUCGGCUGGAACGCGUCCGACGGUGAGGGACGAAGGCCAGGGGAGCAAACCGGAUUAGAUGCCCGGGUAGUCCUGGCUGUAAACGAUGCGGACUUUGUGUCGGACAAGCUAUGAGCUUGUCCGGUGCCGGAGGGAAACCGUUAAGUCCGCCGCCUGGGGAGUACGGCCGCAAGGCUGAAACUUAAAGGAAUUGGCGGG
rnacentral:rRNA from 1 species